rnacentral:tRNA from 1 species
AAAAUCCGUCGACUUUAAAAAUCGUGAGGGUUCAGGUCCCUCUAUCCCCA